GGCAACGUGGCGGAGUGGUUAACGCGUUGGACUUGAACUGCAUACGAUGCACGUGGCAUAUCCAAUUCCUUCUGGAGCGCCUGUUCGAACCAGGCCGUUGUCG
rfam:Trichosporon oleaginosus strain IBC0246 unplaced genomic scaffold CC85scaffold_136, whole genome shotgun sequence.